UAGGGAAUCUUCGGCAAUGGGGGCAACCCUGACCGAGCAACGCCGCGUGAGUGAAGAAGGUUUUCGGAUCGUAAAGCUCUGUUGUAAGAGAAGAACGUGUGUGAGAGUGGAAAGUUCACACAGUGACGGUAACUUACCAGAAAGGGACGGCUAACUACGUGCCAGCAGCCGCGGUAAUACGUAGGUCCCGAGCGCUGUCCGGAUUUAUUGGGCGUAAAGCGAGCGCAGGCGGUUUAAUAAGUCUGAAGUUAAAGGCAGUGGCUUAACCAUUGUUCGCUUUGGAAACUGUUAAACUUGAGUGCAGAAGGGGAGAGUGGAAUUCCAUGUGUAGCGGUGAAAUGCGUAGAUAUAUGGAGGAACACCGGUGGCGAAAGCGGCUCUCUGGUCUGUAACUGACGCUGAGGCUCGAAAGCGUGGGGAGCAAACAGG
rnacentral:rRNA from 1 species